UGACCUUUGAUCCCGACAGCAUGCUAUG
rnacentral:sRNA from 1 species